ensembl:lncRNA
CUGCGAUACAACACAUCUACAACUGCACAAGAGUUGCUAGCUGUAAAUAAAAGCUAUGUGCGUUUUCCUGGAAUUAAGUACAGCUGUGUGGCAAUGGAAAGGAAAAUGCACGAAGACGAUGAGAAACACUGAAUAACACAGACAAAGUGGGACAACGUGAGCAGAAAAACGUGUUUGUCAUCUGUGUCUCAAAUUAGCAUGGGCUAUGACACCAACAGAGUAAAUUCACAGACUCCGCCCUCAGCACCAUAGGCUCCAAUCGAAGCUGAAGUGAAGCCGUUUCAGAACAUUUUGCUCUACAUAUUUGAGUUGUUUGCCAUGCUUGGAUAUGCUUGUGAAGAUGGAAUAUGGGGGAGAGCAGAAGUGCGUUGAAGUUCCACAAAGGGAUGAAUGAAGGACAUGCAUAUUGUAUUAAAGAAAUAAGUCAUGAGAAUGCUGUUAUUUGCAUUUACCAUGUCAGACCUUUUGAUAAACAAAAUUCUAAUGAAAGUGAGAACAUGUAUACUGUUACAUCUUUCAGAAAAUGUUUUGAAAUUGGGGUGCACAGUUCAGAAUAAAUGUUUUUCAAAAACCA